rnacentral:rRNA from 1 species
CCCGGUGGGGGGGGUGCUAUACAUGCAAGUCGAACGAACUCUGGUAUUGAUUGGUGCUUGCAUCAUGAUUUACAUUUGAGUGAGUGGCGAACUGGUGAGUAACACGUGGGAAACCUGCCCAGAAGCGGGGGAUAACACCUGGAAACAGAUGCUAAUACCGCAUAACAACUUGGACCGCAUGGUCCGAGCUUGAAAGAUGGCUUCGGCUAUCACUUUUGGAUGGUCCCGCGGCGUAUUAGCUAGAUGGUGGGGUAACGGCUCACCAUGGCAAUGAUACGUAGCCGACCUGAGAGGGUAAUCGGCCACAUUGGGACUGAGACACGGCCCAAACUCCUACGGGAGGCAGCAGUAGGGAAUCUUCCACAAUGGACGAAAGUCUGAUGGAGCAACGCCGCGUGAGUGAAGAAGGGUUUCGGCUCGUAAAACUCUGUUGUUAAAGAAGAACAUAUCUGAGAGUAACUGUUCAGGUAUUGACGGUAUUUAACCAGAAAGCCACGGCUAACUACGUGCCAGCAGCCGCGGUAAUACGUAGGUGGCAAGCGUUGUCCGGAUUUAUUGGGCGUAAAGCGAGCGCAGGCGGUUUUUUAAGUCUGAUGUGAAAGCCUUCGGCUCAACCGAAGAAGUGCAUCGGAAACUGGGAAACUUGAGUGCAGAAGAGGACAGUGGAACUCCAUGUGUAGCGGUGAAAUGCGUAGAUAUAUGGAAGAACACCAGUGGCGAAGGCGGCUGUCUGGUCUGUAACUGACGCUGAGGCUCGAAAGUAUGGGUAGCAAACAGGAUUAGAUACCCUGGUAGUCCAUACCGUAAACGAUGAAUGCUAAGUGUUGGAGGGUUUCCGCCCUUCAGUGCUGCAGCUAACGCAUUAAGCAUUUCCGCCUGGGGAGUACGGCCGCAAGGCUGAAACUCAAAGGAAUUGACGGGGGCCCGCACAAGCGGUUGGAGCAUGUGGUUUAAUUCGAAGCUACGCGAAGAACCCUUACCAGGUCUUGACAUACUAUGC